rnacentral:rRNA from 1 species
GUGGAUUAGAUACCCUGGUAGUCCACGCCCUAAACGAUGUCAACUAGGUGUUGGGAGGGUUAAACCUUUUAGUACCGUAGCUAACGCGUGAAGUUGACCGCCUGGGGAGUACGGCCGCAAGGUUAAAACUCAAAGGAAUUGACGUGGACCCGCACAAGCGGUGGAUGAUGUGGAUUAAUUCGAUGCAACGCGAAAAACCUUACCUACCCUUGACAUGUCAGGAAUCCCGAAGAGAUUUGGUAGUGCUCGAAAGAGAACCUGAACACAGGUGCUGCACGGUUGUCGUCUGCU